GUGAGCUGUAGGUAGUAAGGAAAUACAGUUAUUUCUCUUCUGCCUUUGUUUCUCCUAUCACCAGGACUCCCUAAAAGGUGGCCUGUCUGAGGGCCUGGCAUCCUUUCUCACAUCUGUGAUCAUAAACAGACCUGGUGGGUCUCAGCUCUGCUCCUCGCCAGCUGCCUAACGACGCUGAGUGAGGCAUGUCUUCUCUGGGCCUUGGCAGGCUCAGCUGCACCACGAUCACAGACUGGGGGCGUGGAACGGGACGAUGGACCGGCAGGGGCACUGUGUGUCUCUUCCGCAGGCAGGGUGUCCUCCCAACGGAAGGAUGAUGAACACUCACACGUAACAGCAGAAGUAAGGAGUUAACCCUAAAGCCGGUGGGACCUGAUGCAGGGUGAUCGCUCUGGGUCUGGGCAUAGCAGGUGAGGCCAG
rnacentral:lncRNA from 1 species